UUGGACCAUUUUCUCUGUGCUUCGUUGUAUCGGUUUCUAGUAAAACUUGCUGAAAAAUUCUCAACAAGUUUUACGAGCAACCGAUACAACGAAGCAACCGACUGUAUUGUAG
rnacentral:pre_miRNA from 1 species